AUCACCUGGGGAUCUUGUUGCAUUGCAGAUUAUGAUUCAAAAGAUCUGGGUUAGGGCCUGAGAUUCUGCAUUUUCAACAAGUUCUCAGGUGA
rnacentral:miRNA from 1 species